CGGGGAUGGCCACCGCCGCCUGCAAGAGCCUCUGGCUCAGGGCGGUCAGUUGGUGCCGGGGCUACGUCUUCCUCGAGCAGCAGCAGCCCAUGGUCGAGCUCUCCUGUGAGAAGGUGCCCACCGUGCUCGGCCGUACGCGGAAACCCAGGCUCACGGACUUUUUUGCCAGGAUCAAGGAGCGUUUCAGCGGCUUCUUCCAGUGCAGCAAGAUCUGGAUCCGCGACAAGCUCAACCUCAAAAAACCCAAACCCUGAACGCGUGACGCCAUGUGUCCCCACCCUGUGCCCCC